rnacentral:rRNA from 1 species
UGGGGAAUAUUGGACAAUGGGGGCAACCCUGAUCCAGCAAUGCCGCGUGUGUGAAGAAGGUCUUCGGAUUGUAAAGCACUUUCGACGGGGACGAUGAUGACGGUACCCGUAGAAGAAGCCCCGGCUAACUUCGUGCCAGCAGCCGCGGUAAUACGAAGGGGGCUAGCGUUGCUCGGAAUGACUGGGCGUAAAGGGCGUGUAGGCGGUUUACACAGUCAGAUGUGAAAUCCCCGGGCUUAACCUGGGAGCUGCAUUUGAUACGUGUAGACUAGAGUGUGAGAGAGGGUUGUGGAAUUCCCAGUGUAGAGGUGAAAUUCGUAGAUAUUGGGAAGAACACCGGUGGCGAAGGCGGCAACCUGGCUCAUGACUGACGCUGAGGCGCGAAAGCGUGGGGAGCAAACAGGUUAGAUACCCUGGUAGUCCACGCUGUAAACGAUGUGUGCUAGAUGUUGGGUAACUUUGUUAUUCAGUGUCGCAGUUAACGCGUUAAGCACACCGCCUGGGGAGUACGGCCGCAAGGUUGAAAC